GGGGUUAUUAGCGGCAGGCUCGUCUCCGUUUGUGACAUAGCCCAACUGUUGCUUCGGCGGGUCGGGAGCGCCCUCCCGGGGGCGCCCCCCAGGCCCGGCCCCUCCCGGGGCCGAGCGCCCGCCGGAGGAUCACCCAACUCUAUUUUAACGACGUUUCUUCUGAGUGGCACAAGCAAAUAAUUAAAACUUUUAACAACGGAUCUCUUGGUUCUGGCAUCGAUGAAGAACGCAGCGAAAUGCGAUAAGUAAUGUGAAUUGCAGAAUUCAGUGAAUCAUCGAAUCUUUGAACGCACAUUGCGCCCGCCAGCAUUCUGGCGGGCAUGCCUGUUCGAGCGUCAUUUCAACCCUCAAGCCCGGCUUGGUGUUGGGGCACUACGGUCGACGUAGGCCCUUAAAGGUAGUGGCGGACCCUCCCGGAGCCUCCUUUGCGUAGUAACUAACGUCUCGCAUCGGGAUCCGGAGGGACUCCUGCCGUAAAACCCCCACACUUUUUCUGGUUGACCUCGGAUCAGGUAGGGAAUACCCGCUGAACUUAAGCAUAUCAUGGAAGCGGAAAGGAA
rnacentral:rRNA from 1 species